rnacentral:tRNA from 1 species
GGUCUUAUAUUCAAUAAUGAUGUAAAAUUGCAAAUUUUAAGGUGUAGGAAAUACUAAGGCUU